AGAACCCAUUUUGUUAUGAUUAUACAAGCAUGGAAUAUGUCUUAUUCUGAUUAGGACCCCAGUCUUGUGGAUGUACAUGAUGGUGAGUGUCACUGUGGUGCAUUCAUAUAUGUAUAUAGGAAAGUUAUGCCAGAUUCAGUCCACUGUCUUUCCUUUUCUUAUCCCUGUCCUUCCCUUCAUUCCCCUUUAUCUAAUCUACUGAACUUCUAUCUCCAGCCGCUAUUGUGGGUUAGCUUUUACACAUCAGAGAACACUUAACCUUUGGUUUUUUAGGAUUGGUUUAUUUCACUUAGUAUGAUAGUCUCUAGACCCAUUCAUUUACAGGCAAAUAUCACAAGGUCAUUCUUCUCUCUGGUUAAGUAAUACUCCAUUAUGUUUAUAUACCACAAUUUCUUUAUCCAUUCAUCUGUUAAAGGGCACCGAGGUUGGCUCCAUAGCUUACCAAUAGUGAAUUGUGCUACUAUAAACAAUGAUGUGGCUGUAUCACUGUCGUAUGCUAAUUUUAAAGAGUGGGAUAACUGGGUCAAAUGGUGGUUCCAUUCCUAGUUUUUUGAGAAAUCUCUAUACUGCUUUACAGAGAAGUUGCACCAAUUUGCAGUCUCACCAAUAAUGUAUAAGUGUAUUCUUUUCCCCACAGCCUUGCCAACAUUUAUUGUUACUUAUAUUCUUGAUAAUUGCCAUUCUGGUUGGAGUGAGAUGAAAUCUCAGUGUAGCUUUUGUUUUUUAAUAAUACCUUUAUUUUAUUUAUUUUUUUUUAUGUGGUGCUGAGGAUCGAACCCAGUGCCUUACAAGUGCUAGGCAAGUGCUCUACCACUGAGUCAUAAACCCAGCCCCCCCAGUGUAGUUUUAAUUUGCAUUUCUCUAGUUGUUGAGCUAAAGACAGUUAAGCAAAAUGGAAAUAAAAUUAUGGAAAAUAACACUAGUUAAAAAAAAUGGGUUUCUAGGUUGCUGUUUUCUUCCUUUCUAUAUAACUAUCUAUAAGCUUUCUAGAGAGAUGUGAUUUACGCUGAUAACUUGAAUUAUUAGGUAUUUUAAAAAUACAUUUUACAUUUUUUUCUUUUGCCUUCCAAAGUAAUUGUUAGUGAAUGUUUGGGGCUAUGAUGUAUGUGUGUAAUCCCAGUUUUGGGAUGCCGAGGCACGAGGAUCACAAGUUUGAGGCCAGCCUCAGCAAUUUAGCUAGGCUCUAAGCAACUUAUCGAGAACCUGUCUCAAAAUAAAAAUUAAAAAGGGCUAAGGAUGUGGCUUAGCACCCCUGGGUUCAAUCCCCAGUACCAAAAAGAAAAUUGUCACUUGGGUUAGAAUUAUGUAAACAAAGGUAGUGAUGCCAACAGAAUAUUAGGUAAUUAUUAUGAAAUAAGCUAGGACAGAAAGAUAAAUUCAGAUUUAGAGGAAAGAGAUGU
rnacentral:lncRNA from 1 species